AGAAAAUAAACCCAAGCCAAACACUUGGAUACAAUACAUCAGAAGAGGAAAACCCAUGCUAUGCUGAAGUUUCACAAUCUCAUUUUUUUAAGGUAUUGCCUGAGAGCGCCAAGGAAUCUUCAGUCCACCCACCUACAGCUCUCCUACUGACAGAGUAUACACUGAGCAGUUUCAUGGGACUGUGCUUGAGCAAAAGGAGAAGAAGG
rnacentral:lncRNA from 1 species